CCUACGGGAGGCAGCAGUGAGGAAUAUUGGUCAAUGGGCGGGAGCCUGAACCAGCCAAGCCGCGUGCGGGAAGAAGGUACAGCGUAUCGUAAACCUCUUUUGUCAGGGAACAAAGGCGGGUACUAGUCCCCGGCUGAGGGUACCUUAAGAAAAAGCAUCGGCUAACUCCGUGCCAGCAGCCGCGGUAAUACGGAGGAUGCGAGCGUUAUCCGGAUUUAUUGGGUUUAAAGGGUGCGCAGGCGGCCUGUUAAGUCAGCGGUAAAAGCCCGGGGCUCAACCCCGGCGAGCCGUUGAAACUGGCGGGCUGGAGAGGGAGAGAAGUACGCGGAAUGUGCGGUGUAGCGGUGAAAUGCUUAGAUAUCGCGCAGAACCCCGAUUGCGAAGGCAGCGUACCGGCUCCAAACUGACGCUGAGGCACGAAAGCGUGGGUAUCGAACAGGAUUAGAUACCCCAGUAGUC
rnacentral:rRNA from 1 species